GCCCAGCUAGUUCAGUCGGUAGAGCAUGGGACUCCUUAUCCCACGAUCGUGAGUUCGAGCCCCACGUUGGUCGCA